AGUAAUGCGUGACCAACCUCGCCCCACUGCUCCAGAAUAGCUCUUGGAAACGGGUGGUAAUGCUGGAUGCUCCAACUUGACGCAUGUCUUGUUGGGAAGUGUUUAGUGGCAUGGGAUGGGGUCGCGUCCUAUCAGCUUGUAGGCGGGGUAAUGGCCCACCUAGGCUUCGACGGGUAGCCGGCCUGAGAGGGCGGACGGCCACAUUGGGACUGAGAUACGGCCCAGACUCCUACGGGAGGCAGCAGCU
rnacentral:rRNA from 1 species